rnacentral:rRNA from 1 species
AUUGAACGCUGGCGGCAGGCUUAACACAUGCAAGUCGAACGCCCCGCAAGGGGAGUGGCAGACGGGUGAGUAACGCGUGGGAACAUACCCUUUCCUGCGGAAUAGCUCUGGGAAACUGGAAUUAAUACCGCAUACGCCCUACGGGGGAAAGAUUUAUCGGGGAAGGAUUGGCCCGCGUUGGAUUAGCUAGUUGGUGGGGUAAAGGCCUACCAAGGCGACGAUCCAUAGCUGGUCUGAGAGGAUGAUCAGCCACAUUGGGACUGAGACACGGCCCAAACUCCUACGGGAGGCAGCAGUGGGGAAUAUUGGACAAUGGGCGCAAGCCUGAUCCAGCCAUGCCGCGUGAGUGAUGAAGGCCUUAGGGUUGUAAAGCUCUUUCACCGAUGAAGAUAAUGACGGUAGUCGGAGAAGAAGCCCCGGCUAACUUCGUGCCAGCAGCCGCCGUAAGAC